rnacentral:lncRNA from 12 species
UUGCAUCCCUGGAGCCACACGGGUAAUUAUUGCACUUACCGGGCUCCGCUGUACAAAAAGCCGCUCGGGAUGCCGGGGGAGGGGGGAGACGCUGGGGCUUCUCGGUGGAGUUAGAGCCUGUGGGCUUUGGGUUAGGAAAUCCGCGAAGCGAUUAAAGAAAGCGGAGAUAAUGCAACGCCGAGCUGAGUUCAUGAUCUAGACGGAGUCAGUGCCUUGACCAUCAAACCGGCAGCGUUUACUGCGGUCAACACAACACCCCACGGCACCUCCCGCAGGACCUGACACCGGGGUGGGAUUACCCACUGCUGCAAAACCUAAACGGGGAGGCUAAAGAAUACCUUGAAAAACUCUCACCGGCCCCUGUGCCUUUUGUCUGAUUCCCCUGCACUAGAUCGCACAGGGAGGAGAAGCCAGCUCGCCGUCUCAUCGACGCACUUCCAGUUAUUUUAUUCCUGACUGACGAGGAUUGCACCGUACUCUUUAUAGUACUUUCCUUCACUUUAAUCCAAUUUUU